CCGACACUACAAGAAAUAUCAUAUUCAGUGACGGGUAGCCCCAUGACAAAAUUGCAAUCCAUCACAGAAAAUCUUUUUUUGGUGACGGCAUAGGGUUGCCCGUCACCUAAGAUUGCUAAUGCAUGACGGAAUCGAUUUUCGUCAUUGCAAACCGUGGCUGAUUAUAAGCAUGAUGGAAUUUAGAGCAUGGUACAUUCAACCGUCACCUAAAUCAAUAGAAAUAAGCUUGAAAAAUGAAAAAAAAUUGCAUGAUGGAAUUUAGAGCAUGGUACAUUCAAACGUCAGCUAAAUCAAUAGAAAUAAGCUUGAAAAAUGAACAAAAAAAUUGCCUUGCCGUAGGGAUCGUAGCGUAUUGUUGCUUUGUAAGGAAAGUUUAGUUCUUUUGUAUGUACCACGUCAAUAGAAAUAAACUUGAGAAUGAAGGAAAAAUUGAGUUGAAGUGGGAUUUGAACCCAGGAAGUAGGAAGAGUUUAAAGGUGGCUUGCCACUAGGCUAGUGUUCCUUUGUUGCAUUGUAUGGGAGUUUAGUUAUUUUGUAUAUACGAAGGCUGACAAUUUCGUAACGGCCCCCACCCACUCCAUUUACUUGCCCCACCCACCUCUCUCCAUUCCUCUCUCGGUGAGUUCUCGCCGAAACGAAGCCGCGCUGUCGCUCUCGCGCUGCCGUCGCCCAAAUUUAGCCGACGCCACCGUGCGCGGGAGAGGGAGGAGAGCAAGAUCCGCGCGCUCGCCGUCACUCAAUCCCCCGCCC
rnacentral:lncRNA from 1 species